GUGUGGCGCAAGCGUUUGUUCGGGAAUCACUGGGGCAUAAAGAGCGCGUAGGCGGUGUCGUAAGUCGAAUGUGAAAGCCCUCGGGCUCAACCGAGGAACUGCAUCCGAAACUGCGGUACUAGAGUUUGGGAGGGGGGAGUGGAAUUCCUGGUGGAGCGGUGAAAUGCGUAGAUAUCAGGAGGAACGCCGGUGGCGAAGGCGACUCUCUGGCCCAUAACUGACGCUGAGUGCGCGAAAGCUAGGGGAGCAAACAGGAUUAGAUACCCUGGUAGCCCUAGCUGUAAACGAUGGGCACUAGGUAGUGGGGGUCACCGACAUUCUCACUGCUGUAGCUAAUGUAUUAAGUGCCCCGCCUGGGGAGUAUGCUCGCAAGGGUG
rnacentral:rRNA from 1 species